UACGUAGGCAGCGAGCGUUGUUCGGAAUUACUGGGCGUAAAGAGUGUGUAGGCGGUGCUCCCAGUCUGUUGUGAAAUCUCCCGGCUUAACUGGGAGGGUGCAGCGGAAACUAGAGUGCUAGAGGGUGGGAGAGGUAAGCGGAAUUCCUGGUGUAGCGGUGAAAUGCGUAGAUAUCAGGAGGAACACCUGUGGUGUAGACAGCUUACUGGACCACUUCUGACGCUGAGACACGAAAGCGUGGGUAGCAAACAGG
rnacentral:rRNA from 3 species